GAUUGAACGCUGGCGGCAUGCCUUACACAUGCAAGUCGAACGGCAGCACGGGGGCAACCCUGGUGGCGAGUGGCGAACGGGUGAGUAAUGCAUCGGAACGUGCCCAGUAGUGGGGGAUAACUAGUCGAAAGAUUAGCUAAUACCGCAUACGACCUACGGGUGAAAGCGGGGGAUGCAGCACUUAAUGUUUUGGGAUGGCUACUUGUGGCCGCCUCGGGACAGUCUCAGGUUGAGAACAUUAAGUGCUGCACCUCGCGCUAUUGGAGCGGCC
rnacentral:rRNA from 1 species